GCCUUUGGUCUGGCUCUCCCCAUCGCUGGGUUCAGUGCCUGACUGAAUGGAAAACCCGUCGUCUUGCAGCCACUAACCUGUGAGCGCCGGGUACCUGGAGACCAGGCCCCUCUGCUGGGGGCCCCCAGGAGCGGUGCCCCAUCAUUUUGCAGCCCACUGACUCCCAGCCUGGUGUGAAAACUGAGGCCCGGAGAGGUGAUGUGAUUUGCCUAAAGUCAUGCAACUAGUGGCAGAGCCAGGCCUAGACGCCAGGUGUCCUGGCUCUCAAGACAUUCCGCUGCCCGAGGAAUGGAACAGGUAGUAUCACUCACACUGGGGGCCAUGGGUCAGUCCAUUCAGCCCAGAGCUGCCUGAGGUUCCAACUAAGGAAACCAGAGGAAACAUCCACUCAAAAUUCUGACAAGUUGAACGGGGUUGAAAUCAGAACUGGGCAAGAGAAAGGGGGCAAGGUUUGAAACUCAGACCUCACGAUCCUGGGACAGAGGCCAAUGUACCAUCACCCCACGUCACCUUCUGAAGGUGGAUUGAGCUCUGGCCCUAUCAUGUCCAUCUCUAAACAGCUUGGUGAACUUGACUGAGAGUUGUUCUCCAUUCCAGAAAA
rnacentral:lncRNA from 1 species